rnacentral:rRNA from 1 species
GUACACGCUGUGACUAGCAUAUCAAUAAGCGGAGGAAAAGAAACUAACAAGGAUUCCCCUAGUAACGGCGAGUGAAGCGGGAAGAGCUCAAAUUUGAAAUCUUAAAGGGUUUCCCUUUACGAAUUGUAGUUUAAAGAAGUGUUUUCUGUUGAGGUUUUGGUAAAAGUUCUUUGGAAUAGGACAUCAUAGAGGGUGAGAAUCCCGUAUUUGACCUUUACUUUCAACUUUGUGAUACACUUUCAAAGAGUCGGAUUGUUUGGGAAUGCAGUCCAAAAUGGGUGGUAAAUUUCAUCUAAAGCUAAAUAUUGGCGAGAGACCGAUAGCGAACAAGUACCGUGAGGGAAAGAUGAAAAGAACUUUGAAAAGAGAGUUAAACAGUACGUGAAAUUGUCAAAAGGGAAGCGUUUGACACCAGUGUUGUUUUUCUGAAAAUCAAUUAAAGAACUGUUUAUGCUAAGUUGUUUAGACUUUAUCAGCUAUCUGCUUAGCUUUGAGCUUUUCUUUAAUGCACUUUUCAGUUAACAAGUCAACAUCAAUUUCUUUUGCUGUAAAAAAGCUUGAGGAAGGUGGCUUGAGAUUCGUCUUAAGUGUUUAUAGCCUCUUGCCUAUGCAGUCGGAGAGAUUGAGGUCUGCAGCGUAGAUCCUUCGGGGCUAAAUGCAUUUGUGCUAAGUUAUAGCAUUUUAUAGACAACUUGUUGACUAUGAUUUGUCUUGUAGCUUACUCGCUUAUGUUAUUUUACCUACGCUUAGGAUGUUGACGAGACUGUCGAUCUC